CCACCCCCGGCCCACGGCCGCCCCCAGCGCAGCGGCACGGGCAGCGCCGCCGGGCCGGAUGUUGUUGGGCCGCAGCGCCCCGCGGCCCCGCCAUUACCUGGGAGGAGCGGGGAAGCUCCAUCAGAGCCUGAACCUCCAGACAGAGUUUGUGAUGGAAUAGCAACAUAGAAGGAUGCAGUCAACGUCUUUCACACAAGACAAUGAAUUCUGUGGGGUCCCAUUUUUCAGUGAGGCUCUAGGCUUUGCAGGAUGCAUGUUCUCAGAUUACGGUCAGGUGUGGAGCAAAGUGUUCGUCCCACUGACAUCCAUGGCAAAAUUCCCAUUGAUCCGAAUAACACUGAAAUCAUGUGCUAGCAUUUCUAACUGCUGCCUGCCAGAAUCGACUUCAGACCUGCACAUCCUGCCUUAUGCGUCACUAUUAGUAAUGAAGGUUCUGCAGCCCACAUCGUGUCUGCCGUUAUGUUCUCAAGAAGUGAUCAAGACAAGUCUAAAUGAAGAAUGAGAGACCCCAGCAACGGGAGGGGUCGUUGCACAGUCAGUGUACUUGUUAACAGUCUCCUUGCAGUUACUGCAGAUGAAUCCAUCUGCCUUUUAUGCACACACUCCGUGCUGACGAAAUGAGCCAUAUGAGAGCUGUUUGAGUCAGCUUGCACUGACGUGGAUGCGUGCUGUCCUCGCUGGCAAGUGUCCCAGGUUACAGGUGUACUGCCAAGACCUCUGCAAAGCCCGUGUCAUGUCCCUGCUGUCACAUUUGACCUUUUCUGAUUAAAAGACAGUCUAACAUUUUUGAGCAAAUUGAGAGAUCUCAUCCAGCUUUGUAAGUGCCUAGUUAAGACAGUGCAUUCGGCUCUAUGGCACCACGUGCAGCUAUAAACAAGCGCUGUCUUGAGAAAAUAGUCUCAAAGAAUAAUCUUUCCACUAAAACACUCAUGAAGUACGCACUAUCAUCAGAAGCUGUAUGCUAUAAGAGAAAUAAGCAAUUUAAAGUACAGAUUAUAAGGGAACACAAAGGGAGAAAACGCCUGUGUAUGCGGUGUACAGAGGUCCUCUUUUUGCUGUUGAGGAUGGCUGAAUGCGGUCCUGGUAAGGAAAAAAGGAUCAUUCUCUCUCCCUUUAUUGUCCACUUGUUCCAUACUGUAGGAGUCUUCUCAAGCUUACUUGAAGGUAUGGCCACCCCGUCCUGGUAUAUUCUUGAUAAUUUCUAUGUAAAUGCUCAGUGAAUACUCUGGCUGUUGUGCUAGAUGGAGAGAGGGGAGCUGUUGCUCAUCUGGCAUUUGUUAUCUACAGCUGUCUUUCCCUCUUUCAUAGUUCUUUCAGGUUAUAGAUAAGCUAGAGGAAAAUAAAAGGAAGUUUUUCAUACCACCAGUUUCAAUUUGAAGCUGAAGAACUCCAAACUGCUAGUCUCACAAAAACAUUCUCAUGUCUUUUUGGCUGAAUUAAAUGUUGGUCUUUCUAUUAUGUCUUAUGAGCUGCUUGUGGAUCUUUAUAUCUCCAAUCAUUCUCUCCGUGUGUUGGAAAACAAUAUGUGGGAGUUUCUUUCCGUACCAGAUCUUUGUGGGUUACUUGCUAGUAAACUAAUUUUAUAUGACUCAGAUUUAAAUAAUAAAAAGGCUUAACUCCAGCCCAAGAAGAGUUUAUUGUCCACAACUGUAGCCUAGAGACAAACCCCAGCACCUUUGGGACUCAGCUGAGGCAGCAAUUAGGCAGCAUUUUAUUGUGAUGCAGUGAAUACGCAAAAGAUGAAGCUGGGCUACUCUUGAGAGCUUAGAAACAAAAUUGGCUUCCUGGAGAGAGAACAUAAGAAAUCUGGCAACCUAAAAAUAUUUAAAGAGCUUAGGGUUCCCAGGGGAGAAUUUCAAGCUAUUGAAGUGGAAAAGACUGAGCAUUUGCUAAGAUUGAAAAAGAAAAAAGGGGAGGGGGCUACAUGAAAAACAACAAAGUGUACAGAUAUAUAUAUAUUUUUUACUGUAGCAUGUUUCAAAGGGGGAAAUAUAAUAAACCUGAAAUCGGUCUGUAGCACAGACGUCAAUGCAGUGUUCCAAAUCAAACAGCCUUGGUUUGAAAACAGGAGUCAGAAGCUAUUUUUUUUCAUCUCAGAAUUAUGAGUGAUGGAGGCCAAGAAACCAUUAAAUGAGGUGAAAGGUCUAGGCUAGAGGGCAUCUUGAGCAAGUCUAAUGAAGUCAUGGUUGCUUCAGUGGCCACAUUCCCAAGGGAUUUUGCUGUGUCUGUCACUGCUUCUCUGUUCCUCCUCUGGAUCUGGCUCCCUGGGCUUUGCUCUUACGUUCCAGGAACCCUGUGUAGCCCUACUCCAGCAGCUCGGUGGCGUGUAGCAUCCCCGUGUCAGAACAAAGACACGCGGAACAUGAUUUAGCUCACCCAAUGUUUGAUGUCUGUCGUACAUACGUUUACCUGUGGGCUGGUCUUGCCUGCCUGUCUUUAUUGUCAGCAAAGAGUGGCAGGAGCUUACAAGGCACAAUUUAGCUCAACUGAGUGUGAAUUUCUAAUGUAUGCUAAAAGUGCCAAUUUAUCUGUGACUUAAAAUGGAGUCUUAAGGUGAUUAACUCACAAAUGGAUGCCUACAGUUUAAACAUCUCCAUUUGUUCAAUGAACUCUACCCACACAAUGAGCAUUACUCCAGUGCAGACUAUAUAUUAGGGCUUUCUCUGCUGUGUUUGGGCUUAUCCCUUCAUACACCUUGUAUUUAAGCCUGUAUUUAGGACUACAACAAAAUAACUGGUUUUGCUUGUGUCCCAGCAUGAACAAGUGGACUAGGAGGUGCACAGUGUUUACCUUAUUGUCCUGUCCUCUUUGCCACUCUUUCACAUUACCUUGACUGCCUCAGCCUUACAGCUCCACUAGUGAUUUUGUGUGUCGGAGGCAAGUCUGUCCAACAACAGAAGAAACCCCUGCACCGAGGGACGGAGCCGGAUGACUUAUCAAUGUGGGAGAGCAUGCUCUGCUCCUGUGUACCUAAGUAAACUUCAUCUGCAUAAAGUGUUGAUGUCUCUGUUGUGUUGACUUUGACAGAGCAAGCCAGAAGCUGAGAGCAGUCCUUGAUUUUUAAAUAGUCCCAUAAGCCAUACCCAUCCUGUGCUGAACGCACUCAAUUCCUUCCCACAGCCAAGGGCUUCCCUUUCACGUGUUUUAUGUCAUAGGCUUCUCACUCAGUGAUUCCACCACUAACUGAGAGGUUUCUACGCUAUGGUUGUGAUUUGCAGGACAGAUGAAAUUUGUUGCUUUUAUCAUUAAUAUGGCAGUGUAUGGGCCUUGCUUCAGCAACUCCAAGGCUUCCUGCAAGCUGCCUCAUAUUCCAGGCUUUUAUUGAACCAUACACACAAUGCUGUACGUAUUGCAAAGCCACCCUGCUCAUCCUGCUCUUGGUUAUUGCUAAAUUGCCUAGAAUUCAUCUCUUUUGUUUGUGAGAAAUUAGGCACCUCUGGUAAACAAUAAACAGCAGGAAAAAGGAUGGCAUUAUCCCAUCUGAAGCAUACCAGCGUAGCAGCCAGUUUCUGGAUACACCAUUCACAGAGCAGAAAACAAACUGCUGGCUGGUGUGCAAACGUUACUGCAAACACAGCAUUCCCCUGGGAGGCUGAGCUGUAAUGUGCACAGACAAUGUGGAGCGGUUCUGGAUGAGCAGAGGACAUGCGUAUCACAGCACGUUGCAGAAGGCUGUGGUUCUGGUAUGCUGUGGUGUAAGGCCUGAUGUGUAUUUAAGGCAUUUCCUGCUUCAGCAACGUUUGCUAGGAGUCUGAUGCACAUUUCCUAUAAUUUCCAGAAGUAAACUUGCAGUCACAUCUGUGGGAGAGAGGGAAUCAGAGCCUAUGGCCAGAACCUGUGUGGAAGCGCACCCUGGCCAUGUCAGUGGUGAGGGGCAGUGCACACUGCACAGCUCCCUAUGAUGCCAAAGAGGGGACAUUGCUGAGGAGCUGCUCAAAUACGCUCAUUCCUGACGGCACCAGGUAACCUGCUUAAUGCUUAAAAUCCUGUUGCUCUCCAAAAGAAAUACGGAGGAGAAACUGUGUGGUGGAGAUCAGGCUCAGUGGUAUGUGGAAAUGCUCAGCAUAAGCUAUGAAGGGAGCUGGGCAUUCCUUAAAGGAGUUUUAUUGCUUGCAACAGCCAUCUGCAGCCUAAGAGUCAGGGCCUCACACAAGGAAUCCAGAGCUGCCUGCCUUUCUGCAGUACACCAGUUCUUUCUGAAAGAGCACUGGCAGAGAAAUAACAGAUUGCAGCAAGACUGGAGAGAAACAGGUACAAUCAGUUGUCAUAUUGCUGGGUGACAAGAAAAGAAAUGUUUUUAUGCCUACCGAGAUGUGACUAGCUUGUCAGUUAUGUAAUCUGCUAAAUCAUGCUGUUGUCAUGAUCAGUGAGUAGUUUUUACGGCAGCAGACCUUAGCCAGCUUCUUGGCAUUAAGGAUCUGGGCUGUACUGCACUAAACAUUAAGCACAGCUAUAGAAAGGACUGAGAAUUUUCCAUGGAUUGUGCUUGUGGCCAUGUAUUUGGUAUUCUUAAAUUAACCUGAAUUUGAGAUAUGCAGUGAUUUAAAACCAAGCAGACUCUUCUGAAAGUGUUUUCUUGUCAGCGGUGGUGGUGGUUUGGGAUUUUGGUUGUUUUUUAGUUGCUUGUUUUAUGCUGUAUAUGUGAUAUGUAGUUCAGCCAAAACAGGGCUUAUAUUUUGGUAGACCUGACUGGGGGCCAACCGUGCAAAGCGUGAGAUCAGAAAGUGCUUCUUUAGGGCACUUCAGAAGCGCCAACAGUGCUUUGUACUUUUGCUGAGUAGCGCUUUUACCGUCUCAAAGCAUUUUACAAACUGAAGUGGUAAUCCUGACUCUGCACUAAGAGAUACCAGCAUUAUUUUCAUUACAAAUAGGAAAAAUGAAGAAACAAAAGGGGCGGGGAGUGAUUCAUGUCUUGUCAGUGGCUGUGACUCCUUUCUCUUGUCCGGAUUUUUUGCUCUAAGCACUAGAUGUGUUGUUUCUUAGGUGUUAUCACCACCAUCCUUUAGCUGAUGAACAGUGGGGCAGGAAGUAAAAUGAAUCCGAGUGAGGCCAGUAUUCUUCUCAGGAGAUAUUGAUACCAAUGGAACUGGAGUAGCUGCUUUGAAAUUACUGCAGUCAUUAAAGAACAGUAUAUUUUAGGAAGGAAGGAAGUCUUAUGAGCAGAACUCACAAAGACUGAUACCAGAGAGUAGCUGGAUGACUACAUUUUGAUUAUGGUAAUUAUUUCUUUCUUCUUUGUGAUGUAACAGGGGUUGGUAAAUGGCAUUAUUCUCCUUGUUUUACUGUUGCUUUAUUUUGUUCCUGGGAACGCUGUCUCCAGUGAAGCCAUUGUUCACUAGGUGCUUUGAAAACACAGUGACACCAGGACCCUGUGACAUUCCUGAGCAAGAUGUGAAAUUAACCAAAAUAGGGAAAUGGAAGAGCUAUUUUUAACCUGGAUGUGGUCUGCGAUUUGUUUCACACACAGCUCUGAAAUGGCACAGCUGAGGGGAUUCUGGUGAACUUUUGCUGUGAACCAUUUCCUGUGGAUAACGUGCAGGAGAAGCAGAGACCCCCAGCACGCCUGAUUCAUGUGUUCUGCCCACAAUUGCUACGCUGUGCAACCAGGAACUGACUCCAGACUGCGGUGUGUGCUGGGAUAGCUUGAACACAGCAAUUCUAGGAGGGUUAAAAAUUAAACCAGCAAUCAAGAUCUAAAGCAACACUGGGUUUAAAAGACUGAUGAGGAUCAGCUGUGAGUUAAUUCAUUAGAUGCAGUUAAUAUUGCUAGAAGAGCUUGGCAAAAGAAAACAUGAAGCAACUGAAAAGAAACGUCCUUAAGGUGAAUAUUAAAGUUUUUGCAUCUAGCAAAGAAGCGAAAAGCUGAAUACAGAAGAGAAAGCACUGGUUCCCAUUGAGUGGUUACAGAGGAAACAAUCGUACUACUACAGAGAUUUGACUAGAGAAUGAAUCUCACGACUGGCUUAUUUCUCCUUCCGGACCGGUGAGAAACCCAAUCUAGCUACAACGUCUGUUCAGACUUGCAGGUCUCCUGCCUUGUAAUAUUUCAAAUCCUUGACUGCUUGCUGCUGCACAUGGAGUAUUGGUUACCUUCCAUCAUCAGUCUGGCUGCAAGGACUUCCUGUGCUUGACAAGUCCAUUACUUCGUCAAGGUGAAUGUUCAGUCGAGUCUGUCUGGAGGACCAAUGUGUGUCUGAUGCCAGCUGGUUUCUCACCAGACACACAGUUUCACCAGGCACAGAAUAAUAUGAGGAGGAAAAACUGGGAUUUUCAGGGGCUUUUUUCCCCACUCCUUUUUUGAGGUUGAUGUUGCUCCAGUUUAUCCCAGUAGGGGGUAGUUGGCUAACUUUCUAAAUGCAGCCAUCUUUUAUAUGGAAAGCAAGCCCAUCUGAUGAAAUGCCGUUGUCCUUUAUAUGUGGUUUUCCCUGCCUUUAGGAACCCUAAAAGAGACUAGAUAGCUUGGAAGCUGCGGCACUAACACUGCUUUCAGAUCGUCUAUUGUGUAUCAUCAAGGAAGCACAGUAAAACCCAAAUAAAUUAAAAGAAUUUCAUUGCAGUUCCUGAGGGAGAGCAGGAUGCUUUACUUGUGAGUUGCAAGUCAGGUCAGGAGGGCUGGAUCUCCACGGAGAAAUUGCUGACACAGGCCCAGAAAUGUCAUUAGUAAGGUAAGAAAAAGCAUCCAAACUUCUCUUAAUAGCCCUCUGUGGAUACUUUAUAGGAAGUGGCAGCCAGACAACAAUAGGUAUUAAGAAAUUGGCAAAUAACAGCAAACAGCACAAAGUAAACAGCACAGAGAAAACUCUGUGUGCUUUCUGAGAAGGUAAGGAAACUGCGUCACAAUGCUGAGUGCUUCAGAAGAGAGAAUUCUCAUAACUUCCAUAGCCAAAUAUCGCUUGGGACCGGGGCGUGAAUGACUCCUCUGUGCUACUGCUGAGGGAGUGUUGCAACUUCUUGGCAGGUUACAGAAAAUAGGAGGUUGGCCAGCAUCAUUAUCUGGUGGUACAGGAACAUUUGUUUCUCCGGCCACAUGUGGCUGCGUCUGACCAUCUUGGGUAUCCAAGCAGGGAGUUCAAAGUUAAACUCUGCAGGCUUGGUUUUUAAAGGGACGAAUUUCCAGUAAGUGUGAACUUUGUUUCUAAAAGGAGAGAAACCCUUGUUUACUCUUCUAGGAAUUCAUAUUUCUGGCAUAUUGUAGCAGAAAUAAUAAACAAAAACAUAUUACAAGGGUGAGGUGAAUCCAGGGAGCAUGGCAGCUACUGCCAGACCAGCAUCUGCAGCCAAACCAGCCCCUGGUGCAGCUCCAUGCUGUUAAAGAAUGAUGGAGAUUUUCCUGUGUCCCACCAUUCCUGACUAGGAAAGAAUGUGUUGCAGUCCCUGUGUAUUGAGCUAUUUCAGACCAGCUUUGUACAAGAGUGGAAGAAGGGCAAUCACUUUUCUCCCCGUGGAAAGGUAGAGGCAGGGGAGCAGGCUGCCAGACCUCUGGACAAGCAAGGGUCUCCGUCAGGGCAUUUCCUAGCAGGAGGCAAGGAGAUCAUGUGUUCUCCUGUCAUUUAUUCCCUGAUGAGUAUUUGCUUCCUCCAGGCCCAGGGCCAGGAGGGCCAGCACAGGGAACACGUCCUGGUGCAUAGCCAGGGACGUAGCAGUGUCCUGCUGAGAGCAGUGGCCCAGUGCCUGGCACACGGCAUCCAGCCCUCCCCUGGAGACUAGUGUUUGCUAAGGGACGCAACGUAACCUUAGCAUUGAAAAUAGCUGGGUCAGUGGCCAGUGAAGAUUAAUGGCAUCAUUAACAUCCCCAGUUUAUUUAUAGGUUUAAAGAAGUCUCCAACCUGUAAACAAAGGAGAGUUAUGCUGCGUAAUGCAGAGAACCACAGGUUUACCUCCUUCCCACUCCUCUUAUUUCAUCCUGGUUGUUGAGAUCCUGGGGCAGGACCGGCUCAUUGCAAACUUACAUUAUAAACCUUCUCAAUGAGGGCGAUAUGCACUGUUGGGUUGUUUUUUCCCAUGAAUGCUAUAUUUGUCCGGUCUCCACUCAGCUCUUUCUGUGCUUUGUCCUGUGGCCCCUGUUAUGGAAAAUUCUCUUUUUGAAGAAUUUGUUGGGUGGUCAUCACAGGAAUUAGUGAUUUUCUGUCUUGAGCUUUAAGCUGUAAGUUCUGUGUGAGGAGGACUGAGCAUCUUGCAUCUGUGGAGAGCACUUACGCCGUGCAUGGCCACAGGGAAGCAUGCAGAUGUUAUUAACGAUCCUGGGGUCUUCCUACAGGUACUCAGGGCCACUCAGUUCCCAGGUUCUUGAGGAACUUGAAGGACUGUCAAGAAAAGAAAAAGCACGUUGGCUCCAGAACAGCAGUUUUCAUCCCGUGAGCUGCAGCCACACCACCUGGCCCAUCUCCAGGAGCUCAGAAGGUAAGGUGGGAAGGAGGCCUGUUGGCUGCAGACAGCAGGGAUCUGCUGCAGAGGUGUAUGGGCAGAGGGGGAAAGAAAGAUGUGAGAACAGACCCCUCCAGACACACGGUGCAUCAUGUUAUGAAGAUGUGUUUUGGAGGGCAACCACCGUUGGUUUUACUGUUUGUAACGUGAUAAUCUGAGUUGUGCUUCCAUGUCUCGCCCUCCUUGGCCUUCUGUCUUCUAGGGGGUAAAAUAAAGAAUUGGCAGUGAACUGCUCAAA